rnacentral:sRNA from 1 species
CUUGGUCAUUUAGAGGAAGUAAAAGUCGUAACAAGGUCUCCGUUGGUGAACCAGCGGAGGGAUCAUUACCGAGUACUAUAACUCAUAACCCUUUGUGAACCUUUAUACCUGUUGCUUCGGCGGCGCGCCUCCCGGGGCGUGCCCGCCGGCAUUAUCAGAAUCUCUGUUCGAACCCGACGAUACAUCUGAGUGUUCUAAGCGAACUGUUAAAACUUUCAACAACGGAUCUCUUGGCUCCAGCAUCGAUGAAGAACGCAGCGAAACGCGAUAUGUAAUGUGAAUUGCAGAAUUCAGUGAAUCAUCGAAUCUUUGAACGCACAUGGCGCCUUCCAGUAUCCUGGGAGGCAUGCCUGUCCGAGCGUCGUUUCAACCCUCGAGCCCCCGUGGCCCGGCGUUGGGGAUCUGCCCAGGCAGUCCCCGAAAACCAGUGGCGGACCCGUUGGGCCCUUCCUUUGCGUAGUAACAUCUGCCUCGCAUCGGGAGCCUGCGGGCUAUCCGGCCUCUAAACCCCCCUCAAGCCCGCUCCGGCGGCACCAAGGUUGACCUCGGAUCAGGUAGGAAUACCCGCUGAACUUAAGCAUAUCAAUAAGCGGAGGAAAAGAAACCAACAGGGAUUGCCUCAGUAACGGCGAGUGAAGCGGCAGCAGCUCAAAUUUGAAAUCUGGCUCCUUCGGGGCCCGAGUUGUAAUUUGCAGAGGAUGCUUCGGGUACGGGUUCCUUCCGAGUUCCCUGGAACGGGACGCCAUAGAGGGUGAGAGCCCCGUCUGGUAGGACACCCAGCCCGUGUGAAGCUCCCUCGACGAGUCGAGUUGUUUGGGAAU